CGGGGUGUAGCUCAGGUUGGUAGAGCACUGCCUUCGGGAGGCAGUGGUCGAAGGUUCGAGUCCUUUCGCCCCGA
rnacentral:tRNA from 1 species